GGGUUGUGAGGUUAAGCGACUAAGCGUACACGGUGGAUGCCCUGGCAGUCAGAGGCGAUGAAGGACGUGCUAAUCUGCGAUAAGCGUCGGUAAGGUGAUAUGAACCGUUAUAACCGGCGAUUUCCGAAUGGGGAAACCCAGUGUGUUUCGACACACUAUCAUUAACUGAAUCCAUAGGUUAAUGAGGCGAACCGGGGGAACUGAAACAUCUAAGUACCCCGAGGAAAAGAAAUCAACCGAGAUUCCCCCAGUAGCGGCGAGCGAACGGGGAGCAGCCCAGAGCCUGAAUCAGUAUGUGUGUUAGUGGAAGCGUCUGGAAAGGCGCGCGAUACAGGGUGACAGCCCCGUACACAAAAAUGCACAUGCUGUGAGCUCGAUGAGUAGGGCGGGACACGUGGUAUCCUGUCUGAAUAUGGGGGGACCAUCCUCCAAGGCUAAAUACUCCUGACUGACCGAUAGUGAACCAGUACCGUGAGGGAAAGGCGAAAAGAACCCCGGCGAGGGGAGUGAAAAAGAACCUGAAACCGUGUACGUACAAGCAGUGGGAGCACGCUUAGGCGUGUGACUGCGUACCUUUUGUAUAAUGGGUCAGCGACUUAUAUUCUGUAGCAAGGUUAACCGAAUAGGGGAGCCGAAGGGAAACCGAGUCUUAACUGGGCGUUAAGUUGCAGGGUAUAGACCCGAAACCCGGUGAUCUAGCCAUGGGCAGGUUGAAGGUUGGGUAACACUAACUGGAGGACCGAACCGACUAAUGUUGAAAAAUUAGCGGAUGACUUGUGGCUGGGGGUGAAAGGCCAAUCAAACCGGGAGAUAGCUGGUUCUCCCCGAAAGCUAUUUAGGUAGCGCCUCGUGAAUUCAUCUCCGGGGGUAGAGCACUGUUUCGGCAAGGGGGUCAUCCCGACUUACCAACCCGAUGCAAACUGCGAAUACCGGAGAAUGUUAUCACGGGAGACACACGGCGGGUGCUAACGUCCGUCGUGAAGAGGGAAACAACCCAGACCGCCAGCUAAGGUCCCAAAGUCAUGGUUAAGUGGGAAACGAUGUGGGAAGGCCCAGACAGCCAGGAUGUUGGCUUAGAAGCAGCCAUCAUUUAAAGAAAGCGUAAUAGCUCACUGGUCGAGUCGGCCUGCGCGGAAGAUGUAACGGGGCUAAACCAUGCACCGAAGCUGCGGCAGCGACGCUGAUGCGUUGUUGGGUAGGGGAGCGUUCUGUAAGCCUGCGAAGGUGUGCUGUGAGGCAUGCUGGAGGUAUCAGAAGUGCGAAUGCUGACAUAAGUAACGAUAAAGCGGGUGAAAAGCCCGCUCGCCGGAAGACCAAGGGUUCCUGUCCAACGUUAAUCGGGGCAGGGUGAGUCGACCCCUAAGGCGAGGCCGAAAGGCGUAGUCGAUGGGAAACAGGUUAAUAUUCCUGUACUUGGUGUUACUGCGAAGGGGGGACGGAGAAGGCUAUGUUGGCCGGGCGACGGUUGUCCCGGUUUAAGCGUGUAGGCUGGUUUUCCAGGCAAAUCCGGAAAAUCAAGGCUGAGGCGUGAUGACGAGGCACUGCGGUGCUGAAGCAACAAAUGCCCUGCUUCCAGGAAAAGCCUCUAAGCAUCAGGUAACAUCAAAUCGUACCCCAAACCGACACAGGUGGUCAGGUAGAG
rnacentral:rRNA from 1 species